rnacentral:lncRNA from 1 species
ACAGACCUCAGGGAGGUCGGCCCUUGCGCUGCUCAAGCUCAGCCCCUCGGCACCAGAUCGGGAGUCGGGAAAUCUGUGUGUGGACCUGCAGCCGCCUAUCCGACAGGGGGCGCCCAGAGAGCGCGCGACCCUCAUUGCAGCGGAGGAGGAGGCACCGGCGGCGGCACCAGCUUUGGAGGCGGUGGUCAGCCCGCCGCCCGCCGCCCGCCGCCUGUCUCGGCCUGGCUGCGACCCUGAGCUGUCCUUAUAUGUGUAUUUUAGUUUCUAUAGUGUGUAUAGUGUUCCUUCCUUAGUGUUAAUGCACUGGGAAGGGUGCUGCCCUUAAGGAGAGCGGGCUGAAGGAUGUCUAAGAACUAGCUGCACUAUUUUUUCAACUCUUCUAUGGUUUGCUGUAGCUGAAGAUGCACCUGCCAAAUGUGAUGGAAAUGACAAUCAUGUGGGAAGAACAGGUAGAAAACGUUUUGUUUUUUUUUUCUUUGUUGAGAAGGGAAUUUUAGAAUUGUCCUUAUAUGUGUAGGAGAGAAAUACACAUGCAAGAGUGAUGAUGGUCAGCACAGCAGAGGCUAUAAUCAUCUGAUAAGGUAACCACAUAAGUGAGCAUGAGAUCUUUAGCAUAGGAGACGCAUCAUAGGCAAGAUGAUCAAUGACAUUAGAAUCGCAGAAUUCCAGAUGAAAACCCAAGCUGAGUGGAGGGAGGAUAAUCAUAAAUUAUGCCACCCAACAUCAGACAACCAUUGUUUUGCAGGGUUUGUUGCUCAUGAUUGUCAUAUAAUGCAGGGGUUUGCAGAUGGCCACUUAGCGAUCACUGGCUAUGGUUGCCAAGAGAAAGAGUUACAUUAACCCAAAGAGAUCUAUAAAAAAUAGUUGAAUGGCACAUGCAUUAUAGGUAAUUGUUCUGUUCCCAGUUGAUAGACUGUAUAGGAAUCUUGGCAAUUGUAAAUGAGAUUUCUAGGAAAGAGAAAUUUUGGAGGAAAAAAUACAUGGGGGUUUUAAGGUGGGGAUCCAGCAGAGUUAGGGUAAUGAUGGUCAGAUUUCCGGUUACACACAAUAUGUAGGUGAGAAAUAGAAAAAGGAAAAGCAAGAGCUGCAGCCGAGGAUCUUCUGUCAGUCCCAGAAGGAUGAAUGUUGUUAUUGCAGUGUGGUUUCCCAUCAAUGACUCCUGAAUUUUGCCAGCCUUACAUGUCAAUGUCAGAGAGAUUUGAAUGCAGAAUUCAAUGACACCAUCAUCCAGUGAUGAACGCUCUCUUGUAUAUUCGACUUACCCAACAUGCAUGAGUUUUACUUUUUGACCUGAGGAAUAUAUUUCCUAUUUUAUAGUGAGCCGAGCCCCCAGCCUCCUCCUUAUGCAUAAGGACCAAGGGAAAUUAUUUUAUAAAUUUUAGUUGUUGAAUUACAGUCUAACUUUUCCUUUAGUAAAACUCCUAAAAUUAAUUUAUAAUGAAUUAAGUAUUUUAACUCCUACCUUGGGUUGUGCAUUUUUAUCAUAUUACAUUUAUUUUUCAUUUCAUAUAUUAUGAUACUGCCAAAUGUUUUCCUUUAAUAUAGGAGCAAAAUUAAAAAAUAUUAACAUUGGUUUCAUUCCUUUUCUUCAAAGUUUGGGAAUUAUUAAAAUACUAAAAUAAAGUUCUAAACCAGGACCCAAGCAAGGCAUUUCAAUUCUCUUUAAAAUAUAGAGGGUUUUUGUUUUUUUGUUUUUUUUGCUUUCUAACGAGUGAUCAUUCAUUAAUAGAGUAAAACAUGUUUUGACUCUAAAACAUCCACAUGAGUAGUUUUGCUGUUCUAAUCAAAGCUUCACUUCCUAUACCCUGUGCUCCUUCUUGGAUAACAUUCUGCAGCACAACCUGGUUACUUUACUGCCCUUUCAUUACCUUGUGAGGUAAAGCUGCGUUUAAUGAAUGAAGUGCUGAAGGACAUAAAAGAUGUCCUUUAUUGGUGCUUUAUUUAAUGCCUCAGAUUGAAGCAUAUUCAUACACUGUACUGUGGAGAAAAAGUCAAGACAAAAGUUGCUGAAUAUCCUUUCCAUGAAACUCUCCUCCUUUUGUUUUCAUGUCUUUCAGGUCUACAUUUUUGUGUCUGUUUUUACAUUUUGCAUUUAUUUCUCAAUCACUUACUCCUUCUCAACCUCACAAGCCUUGAUAAAACACUCCGCCCUGUGUCUUCCUGUGACUUAAUUCAGUAUGAUUCAUGAUAUCGAUAUAAUUCAAUAUAGUCGUGAUAAUACAUGCUUACAAGUCUCUUGCUAUGGUCCAGGCACUGGGGUGAAUAUAUUACAGAUAUAAUCCACAUAAGCUUUAGGAUAUCCCGUGAGGUAGGGAGGUGUAUGUUCUCUGUUUUCAAGAUGGUAAAAAUGGAGCACAGAGAGAUAAAGUCUGUGUCCACAAUUUCCUAAAUAUUCAGUAGCCAGCCAGGAGGGCUCCAGAGUCCCAGGCCCGAAUCACUGCACUCUGUUUAUUGGUGCACAUCUACCUGAAUAUCUUGGUUGCAUGAUGACGGUAUUUGUAUUGGUAAUUGAAACAAAGGUAGUAUUGUGAUAUAAUUCAUUGUCAAACCAAGAUAGUUGAGAAGCAAAGAGUGGCCGGCAUAAUAAAUAAUUAUAGUGAUGCUGCUGAGGUAGAUGGGCUGUUGAGGGAAAAUACUAAAUGCGUGCAGUCACUGAAUUCAUGUGGAAUAGCAGGUCCGAUGGAGAUUAAACGUCUCUAAUAGCAACUAGCGGAUUUUCCAUUUUAUUGCUUCAUUUUUCUUUUGUUGUUUUAGGGCCGCACCCAUGGCAUAUGGAAAUUCACAGGCUAGGGGUCAAAUCAGAGCUGUAGCUGCCGGCCGACAUCAUAGGUACAGCAGUGCCGAUCCUCAACCCACUGAGUGGAGCCAGGGAUCAAACCUGCAUCCUCAGGGAUACUGCUUGGGUUCGUUAUUAUUGUGCCACUACGGGAACACCACCGUUUUAUUCUUUAUUCCUGUUAGUAUAUUGAUCCUUCCAUGUUGGCUCAGUAUUUCCUUCAGUGAAAUAUUAAGGCUGAAGAGUUGGGACUGACUGUAUUCAUUUAGGUUAAUAAGAUCAUUAGAUAGGUGAGCAUUAUUUCUCAUCUGCCUCCAAUUACACGGAUAGGUAAUCAUAGUUUUCCAACCUGUAAGUAAUGUCUUUGGGGAUCCAAAUUCUUUUACCUUUACUAAAUGUAAAAUGGAUCUCCAAGGAAUAAGCCAUUUUCUUGUGUUUUUACAGUAUUUGCUUCGAAAAGUACUGAUACUUGUACAAGGAGAACUUUUUAAAAAAAUUCUUUCCCUUUAUUACUAAUUUUAAAAACAGUCGUUCCUCUAGCAUCAUCCACAUAUGACCAAGGAGAUUUUUUAAAAAUUAAGCUAUAAAUGAUAUUUAACAUUAGAUUAGUUUCAGGUAUAUUAUAUAAUAGUUCACUGUAUACAUUGUAAAAUAAUUAUUUCACGAUUUAGUCUAGUUAACACCCAUCACCUAUGUAGUUACCAAACUUUUUUUUUCUUGUGAUGAGAACUUUUAAGAUACACUCGCUUACUAACUUUCAAAUGUGCAACUAUAGUCUCCAUGCUGUAAAUUCCAUCCCCAUGACUCAUUUGCUUUCUAACUGAAGUUUCUGUCCUUUGAGCCCCUUCAUCCAUUUCUCCCGCCUCACUUUACUCUUGUUCUUUUAAAGCACUAAUCUGUUCUCUGUAUCUGUGAGCAUGGGUUAUUUGUGUGUGUGUGUGUGUGUUGUUUAUUUGUUUCAGUUGUUUAGAUUCCAGAUAUAAGUGAGAUCAUACAGUACUUGUCUUUCUCAGAUUAACUUAUUUAACACUUUUAAGCAAUGUCUUUCUCUCUUUCAUCUGAGCAAGGAAACCAUGUCUUCUGCUACUGUAGGCUCAGUAUCCAGGAUGGAGUCUCCAGGGUAGACAGAUGGUGUCACAGGGAGGGAUAGUAAUUGAGGCUCAAGAUAAGUAACGUUUGAUGGAAGCUAAUACCCUCCUGAACAGUGCCUUGUCAUCUGACGGUGACCAUAGCUCACACGAGAAGCUCUGUCCUGUUUUCUUCUAUUUUCAUGAACUCAGUUCACUACCCAGUAGUUCUCUUGGUAUUUGACUCAGCUUUGCUUGGGUCUUAAAACAUCUCAUUUUUAAUAAUCAAUAUUUUGCUUGUAUCUGAAUCCAGUCUUACAUAAAUAUUAAAUAUUUAAUAAUGUCAACACAUUCAGAUUGACUCUAAACUUUCACAGAGUAUUUUAUUUGGGCAAAAAUUAAAAAAUGAAUAAAUUUUCAGUAUGUGAGUCUGCAGUUGAUGUGUGUAGGUGUAUGUGUGUGUGGGUGCUUGGAUUUUAUUUUUUGUGUGUCCAUGUGAGUUUGUCGAUUUUAUUUAUGAUUUAGGCCUGAAUCAUAACCAGGCAUGCUAAUGAUUUCUAGGGCCAUCCUUGUAGAACAAAAAUUGUAUCUCAUACAUGACUAUAGGAUAGUCCCUUCAAAUGCUAACUGUAUUGGUUAUUGAAGUCUAAGCCUUUGCUUAAAGAGAGAACUCUGUCAUGACAUUUCCCAUCCACCUCCCACCUUCUGCCAGAACACAUGCAUACAUGCUGUGAAAAUAACUGAGGCAGCAAACACUUUCAGACUUA